GACGAACGCUGGCGGCGUGCCUAACACAUGCAAGUCGAACGGAAAGGCCCUGCGCUUGUUGGGUGCUCGAGUGGCGAACGGGUGAGUAACACGUGAGUAUACCGCCCUUGACUUUGGGAUAACUUCACGAAACUGGGGCUCAUACAGGAUAGGAUCUCCUGCUGCGUGGUGUGCGAUGGAAAGUUUCGGCGGUUGGGGAUGGACUCGCGGCUUAUGAGCUUGAUGGUGGGGUAGUGGCGUACGAAGUCUUUGACGGGUAGCCGGCCUGGGAGGGUUGACGGCGACAAUGGGCCUGAGGUAGGGACCAGAAUCGAACCGGAGGCAGCAGUGGGGAAUAUUACGCAAUGGGCGGGAGCCUGAUACAGAGACGCCGCGUGCGUGAUGACCGCUUUCGGGUGGUGAACCGAUUUCGACUGUGACGAAGCGUGAGUGACGGUAAUGAGUAAGGAAGCACCGGCUAACUACGUG
rnacentral:rRNA from 1 species